rnacentral:lncRNA from 1 species
UAUAUCUUUUAAUAAUCCUUAGUACAUUCCUAGCUAAGUUAUGUACUAUUCAAUUAAAAUUUUAAAUCUAACUAAGAAGAAAAGCAACAAAAUACGAAAUGAAAGCUUAAACAUCCUCAAGUAACAACCCAAACUUUAGAAAAAUAUUCAUCAAAUAUAAAAUUUGGACAUGGUACCUUUAAAAAUGGUCCUAUUAUAGCUAGAAAGUAGACAAUAGAUGAUAUAAUUUUAGCGGUUGAUUCAAACUAUCGCAAACGUUGAAAUGUUGCUAGGUAAUACGUGACAAAUAUAGGAACUCGUGUCCAUUUCGUGCCCACACUAUCUAUUUCUUUACUUAAAAAAAAGAGUUGUUUAACUUUUUUAUCAA